GAUGAAGAACGUAGCGAAAUGCGAUAAGUAAUGUGAAUUGCAGAAUUCAGUGAAUCAUCGAAUCUUUGAACGCACAUUGCGCCCGCCAGUAUUCUGGCGGGCAUGCCUGUUCGAGCGUCAUUUCAACCCUCAGGCCCCCAGUGCCUGGUGUUGGGAUCGGCCCAGCCUUCCUGUAAGGCCGCCGGCCCCGAAAUCUAGUGGCGGUCUCGCUGUAGUCCUCCUCUGCGUAGUAGCACAACCUCGCAGUUGGAACGCGGCGGUGGCCAUGCCGUUAAACACCCAACUUCUGAAAGUUGACCUCGGAUCAGGUAGGAAUACCCGCUGAACUUAAGCAUAUCAAUAAGCGGAGGA
rnacentral:misc_RNA from 1 species